rnacentral:rRNA from 1 species
UUAGAUACCCGGGUAGUCCACGCCGUAAACGAUGGAUACUGGCUGUGGANGGUAUCGACCCCUNCAGUAGCGAAGCUAACGCGUUAAGUAUCCCGCCUGUGGAGUACGGUCGCAAGACUAAAACAUAAAGGAAUUGACGGGGACCCGCACAAGCGGUGGAUCGUGUUCUUUAAUUCGAUGCUAAACGAAGAACCUUACCAGGGCUUGACAUCCAGGGAAUUUUUGGGAAACCAAUUAGUGCCUUUUGGAACCCUGUGACAGGUGAUGCAUGGCCGUCGUCAGCUCGUGUCGUGAGAUGUUUGGUUAAGUCCAUCAACGAGCGGCAACCCUUGCAACUAGUUGGAUUUUUCUAGUUGGACUGCUUCGGUAACGGAGAGGAAGGAGGGGAUGAUGUCAGGUCAGUAUUUCCCUUACGUCCUGGGCUAGAAACACGAUACAAUGGCUAGUACAAUGCGCAGGCAAAGCCGCGAGGUGGAGCAAAUCGGCAUCAAAGCUAGUCCCAGUUCGGAUUGGAGGCUGAAACUCGCCUCCAUGAAGUCGGAAUCGCUAGUAAUCGCAGAUCAGCAAGCUGCGGUGAAUACGUUCCCGGGUCUUGUACACACCGCCCGUCAAACCAUGAAAGUGACCAACACCCGAAGUCCGAUUCGUCGGCCUAAGGUGGGGGGCAUGAUUGGGGUU